rnacentral:rRNA from 1 species
AUCCAUGGCUCAGAUUGAACGCUGGCGGCAGGCCUAACACAUGCAAGUCGAGCGGUAGAGAGAAGCUUGCUUCUCUUGAGAGCGGCGGACGGGUGAGUAAUGCCUAGGAAUCUGCCUGGUAGUGGGGGAUAACGCUCGGAAACGGACGCUAAUACCGCAUACGUCCUACGGGAGAAAGCAGGGGACCUUCGGGCCUUGCGCUAUCAGAUGAGCCUAGGUCGGAUUAGCUAGUUGGUGAGGUAAUGGCUCACCAAGGCGACGAUCCGUAACUGGUCUGAGAGGAUGAUCAGUCACACUGGAACUGAGACACGGUCCAGACUCCUACGGGAGGCAGCAGUGGGGAAUAUUGGACAAUGGGCGAAAGCCUGAUCCAGCCAUGCCGCGUGUGUGAAGAAGGUCUUCGGAUUGUAAAGCACUUUAAGUUGGGAGGAAGGGCAAUAAAUUAAUACUUUGCUGUUUUGACGUUACCGACAGAAUAAGCACCGGCUAAC